CGCCGGUUCUAGACGGCUGCGCGCGCAUCGCCCUGAGACCUAGCGCAUUCCCAGCUCGGGACGCCAUGCCUACACCCUGCGAUUCUUGCAAAGCCACGUGCGGCGGAGGCACGGCGGCGUGCGGUGCCGCUUGCACAUGCGGCCCCAGCUGCGCCUGCGGAGAUGGCAAGCCCUCCGGGGACAAGCCAUGCUGCCAGGGCGGCAAAAAUUAAUUUAACUUUAACUCUAAUUUUUCACUUCGAUAAUGAAGAAUCUAUUUAAUAUUAGUAUUGUAAUGUAGAAUUCAAACAUUAUAAAAUGUAUAACCUUAUAAAAUAACGUUUCAAUUAAAUUCCGAAAAUAAUGAUAAUCAGAGUAAUGAUAAUGAUAGCAAUGGUAAUGAUAAUGAUAGCAAAGGUAAUGAUAAUGAUAGCAAUGGUAAUGAUAUAAAUGUCAGUACGAUAUGGAACUAUAUUGUUAAGCGCUUUUAUGUUUAGUUUUAAAUAUUUAAACGUAGAUUUUACUGCAUAAGUGUCUCUCCGCUUUUAGCUCUAGAUAUAAGUUAUAAUCUUAUCACAUUCAAUGUUUUACAAUUAAGCUUAAUAUUAUCUACAUACAAGAAAAUUAGUACUCAUAAUACUCAUUAAUUUUAAGGUUAUCAAAAUAAUGCGUAAAAGGCAUAAUAAUCGAUGUAAUAAUUGUCUAUGAUUAAUCCAAUAAAGUAAGC